GAGUUUGAUCUUGGCUCAGAGCGAACGCUGGCGGCAGGCCUAACACAUGCAAGUCGAACGGAUCCUUCGGGAUUAGUGGCGGACGGGUGAGUAACACGUGGGAACGUGCCCUUUGGUUCGGAACAACUCAGGGAAACUUGAGCUAAUACCGGAUGUGCCCUUCGGGGGAAAGAUUUAUCGCCAUUGGAGCGGCCCGCGUCUGAUUAGCUAGUUGGUGAGGUAAAGGCUCACCAAGGCGACGAUCAGUAGCUGGUCUGAGAGGAUGAUCAGCCACACUGGGACUGAGACACGGCCCAGACUCCUACGGGAGGCAGCAGUGGGGAAUCUUGCGCAAUGGGCGAAAGCCUGACGCAGCCAUGCCGCGUGAAUGAUGAAGGUCUUAGGAUUGUAAAAUUCUUUCACCGGGGACGAUAAUGACGGUACCCGGAGAAGAAGCUCCGGCUAACUUCGUGCCAGCAGCCGCCGCAGUAAC
rnacentral:rRNA from 1 species